rnacentral:lncRNA from 1 species
AUUUCUUCAAAAAGUUUGCAUUCAUUGUUUUAUAGAUUAUUUCAUCCUUUAAAAACAGAAAAAAUGGCUAUUGGUUUUUCUCUGAUUAUGAAAGUGAGACACGGAAAUAACGCAUAGAAAAACAAGGAAGGGCGUGAAGAAGAAAAUGUCAUCCACACUAUUUUCCAGAGAUGUGCAUAAUUAAAGUAUUGGUGUGCAACACCAUUUUUUUUCAUGCACAGACUUUUUAUUGGGAGGUGGAUCUUAGGAGAGACCGUUUCCACAGAUUUCUUUCCCCCUUAAUGUUACACAUAACGAGUAAAUGAGGAAAGAGUUUUCUUUUCAACAAAAACAAAUUUUGUUUUAUUUUUAAAAAUCAUUUUUGUCUCAGUUUGUGGAAAUUAAUAAAACCAACCGUAACUAAACUGGAGUUUGGAAGGCCUGCAGGGGGAGCGCUCACCCCCAUCACACGUCAUUAACUACACCAGACGGGAAAAGGGAGGAUAGGACGGAGAACCACUUCACUAUUGAAGGAAGACUUCCCUCCCCACCCGGCAACAGCCCAGCCAAUGAGAAACCCCACAGCUCAGCCAAUGAGAAACCCCACAGCUCAGCCAAUGAGAAAAACCACAGCUCAGCCAAUGAGAAAAACCACAGCUCAGCCAAUGAGAAAAACCACAGCUCAGCCAAUGAGAAACACUGCAGCUCAGUCAGUGAGAAACACCACAGCUCAGCCAAUGAGAAGUGCUGCAACUCAGCCAAUGAGAAACACCACAGCUCAGCCAAUGAGAAACACCACAGCUCAGCCAAUGAGAAACACCACAGCUCAGCCAAUGAGAAACACCACAGCUCAGCCAAUGAGAAACACCACAGCUCAGCCAAUCAGAAACACCACAGCUCAGCCAAUCAGAAACACUGCAGCCCAGCCAAUGAGAAAUACCGCAGCUCAGCCAAUGAGGAGCCAUUGCUGCCCUGAACUGUAACUCUCCCCCAAUGGACUUUCCUUUAGAACAGCCCUGCCCUCUCCCCCCUUUUCUCUAUAAAAGCAGCUCCCCUCCUUUGUCUGCUGGAUUAGCCUGUGGUUUGCCAUAGCAGGAACAUCCUGAAUUGUAAUUCUUUUGGCUAUACCCAAAUAAACUCAUUUUGGGAUAAAAUAAUGCAAAUUUGCUUUUUAAGUUGGCACCUUCAAGAAACAAUGUCUUUCUCCUCAGUGUACUGACAGAAUUGUCCUUGUUUUUUCAUCUUUAGGAUAAAGGUUGUGAGGAGAUCCUUUGGCAUUUAUUUAUUUUAAAAUUAUUAGUAAUU